UGGGAAUGUCAGUAGGCUAUCUGCUUUGUGAUUGGUUUACCAGAUGGAUGCAAACCUCAAGUCUUGGUUGUUGUUCCUAUGGAAAAGGACUGCUUCAGCAAAAGGAUUAAAUUCAUACUAGUUCUUGAAGGAUCCAAUCACUGCUUUCUUCGGCGGGUCUAAUCACACUGACGCACAGAGAGAUGAGACAUUCCAAGGAGACAUUAGACAGACACCGCGGGCAGGAGAGAGCAGCGUGUACCAGGCUCAGAUCAGUGGAGGUCGGGAUUUUGUUUUCACUCCUUUCAAUAAAGGUUCUGUAACACUGUAUAUGUCAACAGAAUGACAGACGCGACCUUUGGGUUCACGGUGCAACUUUUCACGCCUGCGCAUGAACA